GUCGCCUCCUAAAAGGUAACGGAGGCGCUCAAAGGUUCCCUCAGAAUGGUUGGAAAUCAUUCAUAGAGUGUAAAGGCAUAAGGGAGCUUGACUGCGAGACCUACAAGUCGAGCAGGGUCGAAAGACGGACUUAGUGAUCCGGUGGUUCCGCAUGGAAGGGCCAUCGCUCAACGGAUAAAAGCUACCCCGGGGAUAACAGGCUUAUCUCCCCCAAGAGUUCACAUCGACGGGGAGGUUUGGCACCUCGAUGUCGGCUCAUCGCAUCCUGGGGCUGUAGUCGGUCCCAAGGGUUGGGCUGUUCGCCCAUUAAAGCGGUACGCGAGCUGGGUUCAGAACGUCGUGAGACAGUUCGGUCCCUAUCCGUCGUGGGCGUAGGAAAUUUGAGAGGAGCUGUCCUUAGUACGAGAGGACCGGGAUGGACAUACCUCUGGUGUACCAGUUGUCGUGCCAACGGCAUAGCUGGGUAGCUAUGUGUGGACGGGAUAAGUGCUGAAAGCAUCUAAGCAUGAAGCCCCCCUCAAGAUGAGAUUUCCCAACUUCGGUUAUAAGAUCCCUCAAAGAUGAUGAGG
rnacentral:rRNA from 1 species